AUUGUAGAGAGAAGCCUUGCUAUGUUGCCCAAGCUGGCCUCAAAAUCACACCCUCAAGAGAUCUGCUCACCUCGACAACCUGAUAAAUUGGUUCUACAGACACAAAUCACCAUGCCUGGAUAAUUAUAUUUUUAUUAUUAUUAUUUUUGUAGAGAGGAGGUCUUGCUAUGUUGCCCAGGGUGGUCUCAAAUUCCUGGACUCAAACAAUUCUCCCAUCUCUGCCUCCCAAAGUGCUAGCACUACAGGCAUAUGCCACUGCACCUGGCCUGACUUGAGAUUUCUUUAAUCUAGCAUCCCAUACUUCAUAUAAUUGGGAAAGGCAGUAGUGUUUUUUUUUAAUUACUUAGUAUUUCAACAAGAAUCAACCAUCUCUCACCAUUGCCAGGACCCUCGUCAGAAGCACUAUCAUCUCCUACCUGGAUGCUGCCACAGCUUGGCCUCCCUGCUUCUACCCAAAUCUUCUCACAGUCUUUCUCAACUCAGCCGCCAUGGGAUGCUUUUAAAUCAGGAGACAGAUCAUGUCGCCUCUCUGCUCAGAACAUUCUUGCAGUUCCCAUCUCAGUCAGAGUAAAAGCCAAAGCCCCAGCAAUAGCCUCCCAGGGCUUAUACAAUCUGUACUGAUCUGAGCCCAACAACUCCCUGGCAUCCUACCCUACUUCUCUCCCUCUCUGUGCUCCACGGGCCUCUUUCCUGAGCUUCAGACACACCAUGGAGUUCCCUCCUAGCAUCUUUAUUCUAUUGUUUCUGCCUACAGUGCUCUUCCCUCAGCACCUUGGCCAGCUCCUUCCCCUCCUUCAAGUCUUUGCUCAAUUUUCACUUAGGAGGCCAAUCCUGACCACUCUAUCACUAUGUUGUCCAGGCUUGUCUUGAACUCCUGAGCCAAAGCCAUCCUCCUGCCUCGGCCUCCUAAAUAGCUGGAAUUAUGGGUGUGGGCCACCACCCGUGGCUUCAUGUCCAUUUCUUCUCGGUGCUGUUACAAACUAGCCUACAUUGAGUGGCUUAAUACACCAGGAAUCUACUACCUAAUAGGUCUGGGGGCCAGAAGUCCAAAAUAGGUCCAUUAAGGCUAAAGUCAAGGUGUCAGCAGGACUGCAUUCCUUCUGGAGGCUCCAGAGAGGAUACAUUCCCUUGCUUGUUUCAGCUUCUAUUGCCACCCCCAUUCCUUGGCUCAUGGCCCCUAACUGCAUCUUCAAAGCCAAAAGCAAAGCAUAUUCGAAUUUCCCUCUCUGACCUCUGCUUCUAUCAUCGCAUCUCCUCCAAUUCUGACUCUCUUACCUCCCUCUUUCUCUUAUAAAGACCCUUGUGAUUGCUGGACACAGUGGCUGUGGCUCACACCCGUAAUCACAACAGUUUAGGAGGUCAAAGUGGGAAAAACGCUUGAGGUCAGGAGUUCGAGACCAGCCUGGGAAACAUAGUGAUAACCCCCAAAUCAACAACAACAACAACAACAAAAAGAAAUAAGAAAAAAUUAGCUGGGCAUGGCGGUAUGCAUCUGUGGUUUCAGCUACUUGAGAGGCUGAAGUGAAAGGAUUGCUUU
rnacentral:lncRNA from 1 species